GAUGAACGCUGGCGGCGUGCUUAACACAUGCAAGUCGAACGAUGAAGCCCAGCUUGCUGGGUGGAUUAGUGGCGAACGGGUGAGUAACACGUGAGUAACCUGCCCUUAACUCUGGGAUAAGCCUGGGAAACUGGGUCUAAUACCGGAUAGGAGCGCCUGCCGCAUGGUGGGUGUUGGAAAGAUUUAUCGGUUUUGGAUGGACUCGCGGCCUAUCAGCUUGUUGGUGAGGUAAUGGCUCACCAAGGCGACGACGGGUAGCCGGCCUGAGAGGGUGACCGGCCACACUGGGACUGAGACACGGCCCAGACUCCUACGGGAGGCAGCAGUGGGGAAUAUUGCACAAUGGGCGAAAGCCUGAUGCAGCGACGCCGCGUGAGGGAUGACGGCCUUCGGGUUGUAAACCUCUUUCAGUAGGGAAGAAGCGAAAGUGACGGUACCUGCAGAAGAAGCACCGGCUAACUACGUG
rnacentral:rRNA from 1 species